rnacentral:rRNA from 1 species
UACGGGGGGGGCAAGCGUUGUUCGGAAUUACUGGGCGUAAAGGGCUCGUAGGCGGCCAACUAAGUCAUACGUGAAAUCCCUCGGCUUAACCGGGGAACUGCGUCUGAUACUGGAUGGCUUGAGAUUGGGAGAGGGAUGCGGAAUUCCAGGUGUAGCGGUGAAAUGCGUAGAUAUCUGGAGGAACACCGGUGGCGAAGGCGGCAUCCUGGACCAACACUGACGCUGAGGAGCGAAAGCCAGGGGAGCAAAGCGGG